rnacentral:rRNA from 1 species
GUCUAUGACCAUGCUACCCUGAACAAGCUUGAUCCUGUCUGAUCUUGAAAGCUAAGCAGGAUCGGGCUUGGUUAGUACUUGGAUGAGAGACCACCUAGGAAGGCCAGAUGCUGUAGGUG